UCCCUGGUGGCUCAGACAGUAAAGCGUCUGUCUGCAAUGCUGGAGACCCGGGUUAGAUUCCCGGGUCGGGAA
rnacentral:tRNA from 1 species